UCGUCAGUGAGGUAUAUCCUUACCUGUUCCUCCUCCGGGAGAACAGCAGAUGAUGAAUGGAGAGCGGAUGAGACCUGAUUAAGAGUCUCCGCUGGUCGGGAACCAGCAACACCCCGGCUUGCUCCUUUCUGAU
rnacentral:snoRNA from 1 species